rnacentral:tRNA from 1 species
GCCGAAGUGGCGGAAUGGCAGACGCGACGGUCUCAAAAACCGUUGAGGGCGACCUCAUGUGGGUUCGACUCCCACCUUCGGCA